rnacentral:rRNA from 1 species
AACGAACGCUGGCGGCAGGCUUAACACAUGCAAGUCGAACGCCCCGCAAGGGGAGUGGCAGACGGGUGAGUAACGCGUGGGAAUCUACCCUGAUCUGCGGGAUAGCUCCGGGAAACUGGAAUUAAUACCGCAUAUGUCCUGAGGGACAAAGAUUGAUCGGUUCAGGAUGAGCCCGCGUCCGAUUAGCUAGUUGGUGGGGUAAAGGCCUACCAAGGCGACGAUCGGUAGCUGGUCUAGGAGGAUGAUCAGCCACAUUGGGACUGAGACACGGCCCAAACUCCUACGGGAGGCAGCAGGGGGGAAUAUUGGACAAUGGGCGCAAGCCUGAUCCAGCCAUGCCGCGUGAGUGAUGAAGGUCUUAGGAUUGUAAAGCUCUUUCACCGGGGACGAUAAUGACGGUACCCGGAGAAGAAGCCCCGGCUAACUUCGUGCCAGCCGCCGCCGUAA